UUGAGAGCUUGCUCUCAUGAGAGUGGCGCACGGGUGAGUAACGCGUAUGCAACCUACCUUUAACUGAGGGAUAGCCCAUAGAAAUGUGGAUUAAUACCUCAUAGUUCUUUUGGCCCGCAUGGGUUGAAAGAUAAAGCUCCGGCGGUUAAAGAUGGGCAUGCGUGACAUUAGCUAGUUGGUAAGGUAACGGCUUACCAAGGCUACGAUGUCUAGGGGUUCUGAGAGGAUGAUCCCCCACACUGGUACUGAGACACGGACCAGACUCCUACGGGAGGCAGCAGUGAGGAAUAUUGGUCAAUGGGCGCAAGCCUGAACCAGCCAUCCCGCGUGCAGGAUGACGGCCCUAUGGGUUGUAAACUGCUUUUAUACACCAAGAAAAAACAGGACGUGUUCUGGACUGACGGUAGUGUAUGAAUAAGCAUCGGCUAACUCCGUGCCAGCAGCCGCGGUAAUACGGAGGAUGCAAGCGUUAUCCGGAUUCAUUGGGUUUAAAGGGUGCGUAGGCGGCUUUUUAAGUCAGUGGUGAAAUCCUGCCGCUUAACGGUAGAAUUGCCAUUGAUACUGAAGAGCUUGAGUACAGUUGAGGUAAGCGGAAUGUGUAGUGUAGCGGUGAAAUGCUUAGAUAUUACACAGAACACCAAUUGCGAAGGCAGCUUACUAAACUGAUACUGACGCUGAUGCACGAAAGCGUGGGGAGCGAACAGGAUUAGAUACCCUGGUAGUCCACGCCGUANACGAUGUUCACUCGCUGUUUGCGAUACACAGCNAGCGGCCAAGCGAAAGCAUUAAGUGAACCACCUGGGGAGUACGAUCGCAAGGUUGAAACUCAAAGGAAUUGACGGG
rnacentral:rRNA from 1 species